GACGUAGGGCGCGAGCGUUGUCCGGAUUUAUUGGGCGUAAAGAGCGUGUAGGCGGCCAGGUAGGUCUGCUGUGAAAACUCGAGGCUCAACCUCGAGACGUCGGCGGAAACCAUCUGGCUAGAGUCCGGAAGAGGAGAGUGGAAUUCCUGGUGUAGCGGUGAAAUGCGUAGAUAUCGGGAGGAACACCUGUGGCGAAAGCGGCUCACUGGACCACAACUGACGCUGAGGCGCGAAAGCUAGGGGAGCAAACAGG
rnacentral:rRNA from 1 species